GGAAGAAGAGUUUUUUUUUUUUUUUGUCAAAAGAUACGUUAAAGAAGACGAGAUCUUAUCUACUUAGAUGAUUUAAUGGUAUUUAACAAUAAAUUAUGUUCAAUCGAAAAUCAAUAAAUCAAAUAUUUUUUUACUAUAAUAAUGUAAUUAAUGGAAUAUAUUAAAAAAUUUGGGUCCUCAAAUUUGGGGGCCCCUGGGCCGUCGCCCGGGCUCGCCCGCCCUCAGGGCCGGC
rnacentral:lncRNA from 1 species